rnacentral:rRNA from 1 species
GCAGGCUGCAACCCGCCUGCAUGAAGUCGGAAUUGCUAGUAAUCGCGGAUCAGCAUGCCGCGGUGAAUACGUUCCCGGGCCUUGUACACACCGCCCGUCACACCAUGAGAGCCGGAAAUGCCCGAAGUCAGUGACCCAACCGCAAGGAGGGAGCUGCCGAAGGUGGAGCUGGUAACUGGGGUGAAGUCGUAACAAGGUAGC